rnacentral:rRNA from 1 species
UCAUGAUCAGCGGCGGACGGGUGAGUAACACGUGAGCAACCUGCCUUUCAGAGUGGGACAACAGUUGGAAACGACUGCUAAUACCGCAUAAUAUUGCCGGUCGGCAUCGGCUGGCAAUCAAAGGAGCAAUCCGCUGAAAGAUGGGCUCGCGUCUGAUUAGAUAGUUGGUGAGGUAACGGCCCACCAAGUCGACGAUCAGUAGCCGGACUGAGAGGUUGAUCGGCCACAUUGGGACUGAGACACGGCCCAGACUCC